UUAUAUGAAUCACAUAUGUGAAGUUAAACACAACUCAAGAAGGACCCUUGGGCCAAAUCAAAGUGGAAGUCCUCCAAACGAAUAUUUUUAAGAAAACGUUUUCGGGUGACCUGACUUUGGGGGGCAAAAACGGUAUUAUAUGUUUGGAAUUUGUAAAAAUACCAAGCAGUAGAAGUUGUAGAUAAUUGAAUUAUCUUUCCAACCAUAGGUCGUGGGUUCCCAGGUGACGUCGGUACAAGGAGAUAUGGACGUUUUAAGGUCGAAAGGUCAGUGGGCUAGGCCCAACUCGGGACCAACCGAGUUGGCCCAAAAAAAUGAAAAGAAAAAUUUAGGCCCAAGGUGAGAGGGUGGCCGGCCAUACCUGGUCCAAGCCCACCAAAUUAAUUAAUUUCCAUGUGGCAAAUUAAUUAUAAAGGGAUCAUUAUCCCUUAGAUGAUUCAAGAAACUUAGAAGGAGAAAGAACAAACAAAACAAGAGCAAAAAAAAAGGGUCAUUUCGGGUUUGGCCAUAGAAAAUUCACCCCUCCAAAUCUUCCUCCAAAAAUUAUUUUCUUGUGGUAUUCCUACUAAUUUAAGGGUCCUUUACAACUUGGUGUAAUUGUUUUGGAAGAAGGAGCACUUAUUUCUUCAAGUUGACAACUUGUUCAAGUGAAGGAGUUGUAGAAAAAGAUUUUGGGCGAAACGGGAAUUGAAUUUGGAAAGGCGUAAAGAGCAUAUAAGGUACCGACGACAGGUUUGCUGAUCCGUCCGCUUAGGAUCUUAUUCUGCUAUUUUGGAGCGCUCCUUUAUCCGGAGCCUAUAUUUUGUGAUGCCUCCGAAAAAGGCGACGGCUGCCCAGAAGAAAAAGGGCGUGGUAGGAGAGACCAGCCGGGCUCAGAAGGGUACUCGGACCCUUGCUCAGAUGAUGCGUGAUAUUGCGUCCCGGCCAGCAGACUCUGCUACGUCUUCAUCAUCAGAGGAGUCUGGGGCAGCUCCACCAGUAGCUCCAG